UUAUUAUUUGUACUAUACAAAUAUUUAUUUAGUUUGUUUUGUUUAUAUAUUUUUAUAUCUUUAUUUUAUUUUACUUAAGAUAUUGUCUUAUUGUAUUUGGUUGUAUUCAUACCAAUAGAUAGUAUCGUAUUGUAAUUGAAGACUUUAAAUAUUAAUGCGUAUGUUCUAAAUUUUUGAAAUUUAAAUGACACAUCCUUAGGAAGCUGAAAACAGUUGGGGGCCUCCUAUAAGCUGCUCUUCUUUUACCUUUCUUUAAGACUUGUUUGACUGUCUUGUAAUUGCUUAAGUAUGAUCGACUACAGCGUACUUCUCUUCCUGGGUAAUGUUCUGGGGGUUAACAGUGGGAGGCCCUAUGGUCGUCCUACUGUUCUGACUGCUUUGUCUUUUAGUCACAACCUCUUUCAAUGUUUUAUUCAAGUAUGCUUCUCUUAUAUCCGUCUUUUUCCGCUAUUAUCUUUAUCUGCUCAAUCUCUCUUCUACAACCAUAACGAUAUAAUCCGUUGCUUCUUAAUGUCCAACAGAAUAUAAAUUUAUAAAUGCACUCGAAGCAAAUAUGAAUAAAGUUAAUUUAUUC
rnacentral:lncRNA from 1 species